GGUUAAGCGACUAAGCCGGAGCGUACACGGAUGGUGCAACGCCCUGGGCAGUCAGAGAGCGUGCGAUGAAGGACGCUAAUCUGAUAAGCGAUAUGGUAAGGUCGAACCGUGUUAUAACCGAUUUCCGGCGAAUGGGGAAACAGUGUGUUUCGACACACUAUCAUUAACUGAAUCAAUAGGUUAAUGAACCGGGGGGAACUGAAACAUCUAAGUACCCCGAAAAGGGGAAAUAACCGAGAUUCCCCCAGUAGAGAGCGUAGGGCCCAGAGCCUGAACGAAUCAGUGUGUGGAAGCGAUACAGGGUGAAAGGGCGUGUCUGUUAGCGCCCCGACAGUACACAAAAAUGCACAUGCUGAGCUCGGGACACGAGUGAUGAGGGGGGGCGCGAAAAGAACCCCGAAAGGGGGCGUCUGAAUAUGUAUCCCUGACCAUCCUCCAAGGCUAAAUACCCUUGGGGGGGGACUGACCGAUAGUACCGAAGAGUG
rnacentral:rRNA from 1 species